AAAUCUACUGAUGGCUACUGAUUUUUUGAAAGCAAAACUACUGAUGACAUCAAAACUGACCUGGCAACCCUGUCGAUGUGCGACCUGUGCGCCGGCGUCCCGGAAAACUACGUCCAUUCAUUGUCCAUUUAUUUUCCAUUGUCCAUUUUGUUUGCUGUUGGGCUGAACUGAAAAUGAAAAUGAAGCCUAGAGGCGUUUGCAUAAAAAGUGUGAUUAGCUGGUGAUUGAUUGAUAAAAUAUGUUGUUUUUAAGUUGAUGAACCCAUGCAGCAGAAUAAACUUUACAACUGCAGACUCAGACACAUUCUCGCGGAAAAAAUGAUUCUGUAAUCAAACUUUUGAAUGUAUAUUUGACCACACCCAACUGUCCACAAAAAUGAAUGUUAAAAGCAGAAGCCGUGCGCAAAUCGCAAAUUCGCAGUGUCCGAAUACAUAUUACAUAUAUGGAUUCUUGGUUAUUAAGGACUGCAGGCAUUAUGGAGUUUGGUUUUCUGCAUGUCAACAGCUUUUCUGCUGAAGAUGUAAUUUUAAGUUUGGUUUUUUAUUGAUUAGUACACAAUAUGCUGGUUUAUCGGAUCGACACUGAACUGAAUUUAGAAUAUAAGACAGAAAGAACACUGAAUGUGUUUAGAAAAAAAGAGAACAGCAACUAGCAUCCAAAAUUUUUAUCUAUUGUACAAAUGUAUUUAUGUACUCCCGAAAGUGUUAAUAUAAAAUGUUGUUUU